UCCCGCACCCCAUGGCUCCUAUCCCGUCUCUCUCCUGGCUCCUGAGAAAAAAAUAUCUCCUGCUCUCGCCUCCUCGUCCGCCCCGCGGUCGCGGUCCAGGCCAUCGGCGUUGGGAUCCAGUCCCAUGAAGAAAUUCUCUACUCCUCCCUCUUACCUGUACCACUCUAGAUCGCCUCCAACCAUCGUCGAGCUUGGCGGCAGCGCAGAAGGAGAGCGCUGGUACGUCGGCGCUAGAGGACGUACUGGGCCUGGGGGUGGUUUGCAGGUGCAGCCGUACAACUCGGCCAUGGCGGAUGUGCUGGCCGUCGGGAACGCCAUUACGCCACCGUACCGUUGGGGACGCCGUUAGGAAGGGGUUCUCGGUGUGACGGAAGGUCGGCGCCGAGUGGUGCGGCGAGUGCCAGGCUUCUAGAGGGCGCCGCGGGUAUGACAGCGGGGUGCCGGAUGAUCACACGUGCUUCUGCUCCAGCGGACAGGCUAGCAGGUCGUGUCCUACUACUUCUUUAGGUUCAGGUACCCUUGAUCGAUCCAAGUGGUAAUUGGUUGGUCAACGAUGUUUGAUUGAUCCAAUCAAUCUUUUUUUUGAAACUGAUCUAAUCAACCUUGAGAUGUCCUAAUUUCUCACCAGUCUAUUUAGGAAAACUUCUCUUCUUUUAACCUGACACUUCAUCUGCAAGUAUGUAUCACGCUUUGACUACAGGAAAUCUGAACCGUGCCCACGAUGCGCCAGGGCUGGGAUCAUCACGGCGCCUGCACAGGGUGAUAUGAGUGCAGCGCAACCGAUGCAUCCUCUCCACCCGCCGCCGGUGAGGACUCUGAGGAUGGGUACCAAUGACGGUUUGCGCUUCCCUUGUCGUUCCUCCCAUGACCUCUUCUUGUUUCUCAUCGGCACUCCUCAUUCUCUGAUUACAAGGUCUCUUUUUCAUCAUACAAGCAAGGAGACUCAUCGAUCAGAGAACCGGUGCAUGCGUGCCGCGUGCGGCAUGGCAUUGGAGAAUAGUGAAGCAAGCCCAUGGAUGAAGAAUCAUUGGCACCGGCCUAUGGCAGCAUUACCAGAUGCGUACGCAGUUCGUGCGAAGGGACCCCUCAUUGCUUCGACGCUGAUUCAGUGGGAAUCACCAGUUCACCGCCGCCACUGUUGAAGGCGUGUAGAAAUAGCUUGUGUUUUUUCCUGUUCCCCUCAUUGGUGUUCUCGUCCCUUCCUCUCGACUCAUGCAGAUUCCGAACAUGGCGUUUUUUGUUUGUUUGUUCAUAUGCAGGUUCUCUCCUAGAUUUGGUGGUGCAGAAGUCAGCGGUGUUGGCGCGCUGCAGCCUGCAGGUCAUGGAUGUGAAGAAGCAGGCCCUGAUUCUGAACUAUGGGAGGCAUGAAGGAGGCCAGGACAGAGUGCAGGCCUGCGACUAGGAUCAAGAGCAUGAGACGACGUCACAUUGUGGCUGUAAUGAAUACAAUUUUGACCAAAGGUUUUAUUGUUGUUUCGCAGAUGGGGACUUGAUCAUCUUUGUUGUAGCACGGCGACUUGUUCCAUAUAUUGAACAUGUCUUUUUAUCUAUUCUUUGUUUGUUCUAAAUUUGGACGCUUUCAUGCAGAUCAAGUUAUUACGGAGGACAAAAAAGAAGAGGUGCAUUGCAAUCUAUAUUUGACUAUUAAAUGUGUGGCACAAUCUGUUGACAAACACAUUUAGGUAUCUGUAGUAUGCUUCAGACAAGGCUCAAAAAUCAGGAUACAUGCCAGCUGCAAAGCAAAUAUAUUAAAGUUGCUCAGGUGGAUCUAUUUUGGUUCAAGCUGCUCAGAUGGAUCUAAUCAAGACAACUUAUUGACAGUCUUCCAUUUCGACUGCAGCAAUGUGCGGCGGCGCAUGUGGAGUAGGAGGUACCGAGGUAGAAGAGAAGAUGGAGAAGGUGGUUAUUCCGGCCUUACGUUGAGUGUUGAAUGUGGAGUAUAUGAAAAUACUUGAGUUGAAGAGCAUCCAGUACGUACCCGAGAUAAAUGA